AAGUCGUAACAAGGUUUCCGUAGGUGAACCUGCGGAAGGAUCAUUAACACGAAUUAAUAUAUCCAUUAUUCAAACUCAACGUGAACUUUUCCCCUCCCUAUUCUCUUCCCAACAGAAGGAGAGUAGGCUACCUUUUUACAUUUAUUUUUACCCCAUUCACAAUUUUGUUUUGCUUCUGUUAUUCUAUUGAAUGACUACACAGUAAAUCAACAACACACUAAAAAACCAUAUUAUCUUUGAAAAAAGAUUGUGUUUUUUUCUUAUUACGAAAUAAUAGUAAGUUUAUAAAACAACUCUUAGCAAUGGAUAUCUUGGUUCUC
rnacentral:misc_RNA from 1 species